rnacentral:rRNA from 1 species
AGUGGCGAACGGGUGAGUAACACGUGGGCAAUCUGCCCUGCACUCUGGGACAAGCCCUGGAAACGGGGUCUAAUACCGGAUGACACCCCCUCUCGCAUGGGAGGGGGUUGAAAGCUCCGGCGGUGCAGGAUGAGCCCGCGGCCUAUCAGCUUGUUGGUGAGGUAGAAGCUCACCAAGGCGACGACGGGUAGCCGGCCUGAGAGGGCGACCGGCCACACUGGGACUGAGACACGGCCCAGACUCCUACGGGAGGCAGCAGUGGGGAAUAUUGCACAAUGGGCGAAAGCCUGAUGCAGCGACGCCGCGUGAGGGAUGACGGCCUUCGGGUUGUAAACCUCUUUCAGCAGGGAAGAAGCGAAAGUGACGGUACCUGCAGAAGAAGCGCCGGCUAACUACGUGCCAGCAGCCGCGGUAAUACGUAGGGCGCAAGCGUUGUCCGGAAUUAUUGGGCGUAAAGAGCUCGUAGGCGGCUUGUCACGUCGGUUGUGAAAGCCCGGGGCUUAACCCCGGGUCUGCAGUCGAUACGGGCAGGCUAGAGUGUGGUAGGGGAGAUCGGAAUUCCUGGUGUAGCGGUGAAAUGCGCAGAUAUCAGGAGGAACACCGGUGGCGAAGGCGGAUCUCUGGGCCAUUACUGACGCUGAGGAGCGAAAGCGUGGGGAGCGAACAGGAUUAGAUACCCUGGUAGUCCACGCCGUAAACGGUGGGAACUAGGUGUUGGCGACAUUCCACGUCGUCGGUGCCGCAGCUAACGCAUUAAGUUCCCCGCCUGGGGAGUANGGCCGCAAGGCUAAAACUCAAAGGANUNGACGGGGGCCCGCACAAGCAGCGGANCAUGUGGCUUAAUUCGACGCAACGCGAAGAACCUUACCAAG